rnacentral:other from 1 species
AUAUUCCUGCCAUAUUAGUAUAACGAGUACAUAUUGACCCAACAAUUUUUUAAAAGGGAAUCUGACUCUUUUUAUAAAAUGAAGCUUUUUAGGGAAACCUAUUAAAGAACGUGAAGUAAAAAGGAGAUACCCACCUGUUUAAUACAGGUUCAACUAUUACUCGUGCUACGGUAUGGUGGGAUUUCU